UAACUUCUCUCGCAGUAUGCGU
rnacentral:snRNA from 1 species